UGUACUUCCUGGACAGAAAGAAAACCUAAAAUGGCUGCUUAGAUCUGAAACUCAUGGACUUCAUCAGCUCAGGUGCGCCAGAGGAGGGAGCCUGGAUGCGACCAAUGAGCAGCCAGCAGGAUUUGAGAGGCUCAUAGACAGGAGGCAGGCCAUCUCGGCAAAUACAUCUGCGAGCGCUCUGUCGCAGCAACGCUAAUGCCCCAGAACUUUGCUUAAACAUCUGCAGAGGCUUCUUAUCUGCGAGCCAUGCUGCUCUUUAAUUCAGUUGCUUUCAUGGGAAAAGCAUCUUGCCUUGGAAAGUAUUAUUUGAAGGGGCCCAUCUUCUCGCCAGCUUGGACGGCAACCUUUGUCCAGACGCCCAGUCCGACGCCCGCUGCCUUGGACUCCCGAAGCUCGAACUCGGGCGGGAUGUGGAUGUCGUCGGCGAUGUAGACGGGUGCUUCGUACGCGCUGUCGCUCGGCUCCACCGCAUGGUCGGCAGCUUCGGCAGGAUGGCCAUGGUCCUCCUCUACCGACUCGUCUUCAAUCUCAAGUGCUUGUUCAUGGUCGUAGAUAUCUUCUAACUCGUCACCUAUGAAAAAGCAUCAUGACAAAGAUCAGAGAGAGAAUGGCUUGUCUUUUUGAAUUUAAAAUUUAGGUCACAUUUUGCUGAGCUUUUUCUGUAUUCUGUUACAUUUGUCUUCAAUCCAGCUUAACUACUCCUUAGAGCCAGGUUAGGAACAUUCAUACCUGGCUUCACAAAUCAGGAUCAAUCCUGUGACUGGGUGAAACCCAGUUUGCAAAUCCUGGUAUAAAUGGAGUAUAAGGCUUCCUAGUAAUAGGUGUGCCUUCUAAGAACUAAAUAGACAUGCAGCAUUUCAACUUAUACUCAAUCAAUAAGAUUUCACAUUUACAUGGCACACUGAACCUCACCUGCUCUUAAAAUAAAGAGCAAGUAUGAAAUAGGCAUCAGAUGUACAUGUAACACUUUAAAAAAAGUCUGAUCAAGUACCGCUAUCUAGAAUAUGGUCACGAGUUUACAAAUUUUAUUUAAAAACUGUACCCUUUUUCUCUUUUGGAUUAAUCCGUUACAAACCUAUCUAUUUCUUAUGUAAGACCAUGUCAUCAUAUUCAAGAAAAAAAUUAGUAUAUGACAUAAUACACUUAUGAAACAUGCAUCAUGAUAUUCAAAAUAAAAGGUUGUACUAUGUAAUUGUAAUAUUUGUAUUGCCCUUUAAACACAUCAUUAUAUAAAUUCUCUUUUCCCA